GACGAACGCUGGCGGCGUGCCUAAUACAUGCAAGUCGAGCGGACGGAAUGGGAGCUUGCUCUUGUUCGGUCAGCGGCGGACGGGUGAGUAACACGUGGGCAACCUGCCCGCAAGACCGGGAUAACUCCGGGAAACCGGAGCUAAUACCGGAUAACACCGAAGACCGCAUGGUCUUUGGUUGAAAGGCGGCGCAAGCUGCCACUUGCGGAUGGGCCCGCGGCGCAUUAGCUAGUUGGUGAGGGAACGGCUCACCAAGGCGACGAUGCGUAGCCGGCCUGAGAGGGUGACCGGCCACACUGGGACUGAGAAACGGCCCCGACUCCUACGGGAGGCAGCCGUAGGGAAUCUUCCGCAAUGGGCGAAAGCCUGGCGGAGCGACGCCGCGUGAGCGAAGAAGGCCUUCGGGUCGUAAAGCUCUGUUGUGAGGGACGAAGGAGCGCCGUUUGAAGAAGGCGGCGCGGUGACGGUACCUCACGAGGAAGCCCCGGCUAACUACGUG
rnacentral:rRNA from 1 species